rnacentral:rRNA from 1 species
GAUGAACGCUGGCGGCGUGCCUAAUACAUGCAAGUCGAGCGAACAGACGAGGAGCUUGCUCCUCUGACGUUAGCGGCGGACGGGUGAGUAACACGUGGAUAACCUACCUAUAAGACUGGGAUAACUUCGGGAAACCGGAGCUAAUACCGGAUAAUAUAUUGAACCGCAUGGUUCAAUAGUGAAAGACGGUUUUGCUGUCACUUAUAGAUGGAUCCGCGCCGCAUUAGCUAGUUGGUAAGGUAACGGCUUACCAAGGCAACGAUGCGUAGCCGACCUGAGAGGGGGAUCGGCAACACUGGAACUGAGACACGGUCCAGACUCCUACGGGAGGCAGCAGUAGGGAAUCUUCCGCAAUGGGCGAAAGCCUGACGGAGCAACGCCGCGUGAGUGAUGAAGGUCUUCGGAUCGUAAAACUCUGUUAUUAGGGAAGAACAAAUGUGUAAGUAACUAUGCACGUCUUGACGGUACCUAAUCAGAAAGCCACGGCUAACUACGU